AUGUGUGUUUUCCUCGUGCAGUUGUUAGGUGUGUUUCCCUCUCGUGCAAGAGAAGUGCCUGCGCCUUUGUGUCUCCCCUCUUUGCGUGUCUUUCCCGCUUGGCGUUUGCAUCUUGCAAUGUGUACAUAGGUAUAUCAUGUCUUCUCUCUUGCAACGUGUGGUUUUGUGCAUGUUUCCCACUUGCAAUGUGUGAACUGUCUCGUCUAAUGCUGGUGUGUCUCCCUCUCUUACAGUGUGCAUUUGUGUUACUGUCUUGCAGUGUGUGUGUGUGUGUACAUACAGUAUAUCAUUUUUCUCUCUUGCACUGUGUUUUUUGUGCAUGUUGCAAUGCGUGUGGAUUUGGUAAUCUGACUGUGUCUUGCAAUACAGUAGAGUCUCACUUAUCCAACAUAAACGGGCCGGCAGAACGUUGGAUAAGCGAAUAUGUUGGAUAAUAAGGAGAGAUUAAGGAAAAGCCUAUUAAAUAUCAAAUUAGGUUAUGAUUUUACAAAUUAAGCACCAAAACGUCAUGUUAUACAACAAAUUUGGCAGAAAAAGUAGUUCAAUACACAGCAAUGCUAUGUUGUAAUUACUGUAUUUACGAAUUUAGCACCAAAGAAUCACGAUAUAUUGAAAACGUUGACUACAAAAAUGCGUUGGAUAAUCCAGAACGUUGGAUAAGCGAAUGUUGGAUAAGUGAGACUCUACUGUAUUGCUGUGCCUCCCUCUCUAACGUGUGCAUUUGUGUAUCUUUCUUGCAGUGUGUGUGUGUACAUACAGUAGAGUCUCACUUAUCCAAGCUAAACGGGCCAGCAGAACCUUGGAUAAGCGAAUAAAAUGGAUAAUAAGGAAGGAUUAAGGAAAAGCCAAGUUAUGAUUUUACAAAUUAAGCAUCAAAACAUCAUGUUAUACAACAAAUUUGACAGAAAAAGUACAGUAGAGUCUCACUUAUCCAACACUCACUUAUCCAAAGUUCUGGAUUAUCCAAGACAUUUUUGUAGUCAAUGUUUUCAAUAUAUCGUGAUAUUUUGGUGCUAAAUUCGUAAAUACAGUAAUUACAACAUAACAUUACUGCGUAUUGAACUACUUUUUCUGUCAAAUUUGUUGUAUAACAUGAUGUUUGGUGCUUAAUUUGUAAAAUCAUAACCUAAUUUGAUGUUUAAUAGGCUUUUCCUUAAUUUCUCCUUAUUAUCCAACAUAUUUACUUAUCCAAUGUUCUGCCGGCCCGUUUACGUUGGAUAAGCGAGACUCUACUGUAGUUCAAUACGCAGUAAUGUUAUGUUGUAAUUACUGUAUUUAUGAAUUUAGCACCAAAAUAUCAUGAUAUAUUGAAAACAUUGACUACAAAAAUGCCUUGGAUAAUCCAGAACCUUGGAUAAGCGAGUCUUGGAUAAGUUAGACUCUACUGUAUAUCAUUUUACUCUCUUGCACUGUGUUUUGUGCGUGUUUACCACUUGCAGUAUAUGUGCCUUUCCCUCCUUUAGUGUCUGCAUACAUGUUUGCCUCCCUUGCGAUGUAUUUGUGUUUCCCACUUGCGAUGUGUAUGGGUUUGGUAAUCUGGUCUUUUGCAAUGCUGGUGUGCCUCCCUGUCUUAAAGUGUGCACUUGCUGUUUCUCUCUGGCAGUGUGUACAUCAUUUUUCUCUCUUCCCGUGUGGGUUUGCACAUGCUUCCCACUUCCAAUGUGUGUGUCUUUCCCUCUCUUGCAAUAAAAAUUUGCGUUAUUUGCCUCGCUUGCAAUGUAUGUUUGGUGUGUUCCUGUGAGUUUUCGGGGCUGUAUGAUUAUGUUGGAGAAGCAUUAUCUCCUGACAUUUCGCCCACAUCUAUGGCAGGCACCAUCAGAGGUUGUGAGGUCUGUUGGAAACUAGGCAAGUGGGGUUUAUAUAUCUGCAGGAGAAAGAUCUCUUAUCUGUUUGAGGCAAGUGUGAAUGUUGCAGUUGGCCACCUUGAUUAGCAUUGAAUAGCCUGGCAGCUUCAAAGCCUGGCUGUUUCCUUCCUGGGGGAAUCCUGUGUUAGUAUAUGUUAACUGGCCCUGAUUGUUUCCUGCCUGGAAUUCCCAUUUUCUGAAUGUUGUUCUGCUUCUUGGCAGGGGGCUGGACUGGAUGGUCCAUGAGGUCUCUUCCAACUCUACUAUUCUAUGAUUCUAUGAUUUACUGUCCUGAUUUUAGAGAUAUAUAAACUCCACUUACCGAGUUUCCAACAGACCUCACAACCUCAGAGGAUGCCUGCCAUAGAUGUGGGUGAAACGUCAGGAGAGAAUGCUUCUGUAACAUGGCCAUACAGCCUGAAAAACUCACACCAACCCAAUGUACAUACAGUAUAUCAUUUUCCUCUCUUGCAAUGUGUGCAUCUUUCCCUCUUUUAAUGUGUGCACAUGUGUCUACCUCCCUUGCAAUGUAUGUGGGUUUGGUAAUCUGACUGUGUCUUGCAAUGUUGGUGUGUCUCCCUCUCUUACAGUGUGCAUAUUUGUUUCCCUCUCUUGCAAUACAUAUUUCUGUAUUUACGUCUAGCGGUGUGGCUUUGUGUGUUUUUUCCCCUUGCAGUGUGUAUAGUGUUCCUAUAUCAUACAGUGUUGGUGUGUCUCCCUCUCUUUAACAGUGUGUAUUUGUGUUGCCGUCUUAUGUACAUAUGUAUAUCCUUUUCCUCCCUUGCAAAGUAUGCGUUUGUGCAUGUCUCCCACUUGCAAUGUGUAUGCCUUUCCCUCUUGUAAUGUUUGUAUAUGUCUUUACCUUUCAUGCAGUGUGUUUGUGUUUCCCACUUGCAAUGUGUGUGUCUUCCCUCUUUUAAUGUGUAUAUACCUCUUGUAAUGUGUGCCUGUCUUGCCAUACAUAUUUCCAUGUUUCUCUCUCUCAUGCGAUGUGGCUUUGUGUGAGUUUCCCUCUUGCAAUGUUUGUAGCAUUCCUGUCUCUUGCAGUGCUGGUGUGUUCCCCUCUCUUACAGUGUGCAUUUGUGUUGCCAUCGUGCAGUGUGUCCAGCAUUUCUUGCAAUAUAUAUUUAUGUGUUUCCCCAAGAUGGUCAUUGGUGCCACCAGGAGAUACAGACGACACCAUCAGAGGAAGUGAGAUCAACAUGACACUCUAUGCAUUUUUGGAACCAGCUGUUUCCUUCUCCAUCUUUGGAAUUUGGAGGAAGCAAAGGGGUCCGAAGAAGCAGAAUAAACUUUUGAACAAAGGUAGAGACAUAAUUUGUGGUGGAACAAGUUUGGAAGCUUUCUUAUAUGUCAAAAAGAGCAACCCACUGCUUGGAAGUUAAACAAAUUGCAUGGAGGUUGGGUGUCUAUAAAGCUACAGGAAUUACACCAAGCCUUUGCAGCUAAAGCCAAGCUAUGCCCUUGAGACAGUGGAGAUCUAUGUAAGCAGAAAGUAUUAUACAGACUUUGUUUUACUUACUUACUUACCAUAUUUAUAUCCCGCCUUUCUCAACCCCUGGGGGGACUCAAGGGGCUUACAAAUGGCAUUACAUAAUGCUUUACUUAGGCGAUCCCUCAUUGUCCGAGUAUGAUGGUCCUCCAAGUGUAGUGUCUUGGCAGUGGGUACGUAGGUGACUGUAUAGCCCUAUUAUUGUUUUAUCAUUUGCUUUGUGAGGCAAGCUGAAGUUUCAGGGUCACUAUUAUUUAUUAGGAUAUGCCAUCCUUCAAAACAUGCAUAUGAAUGAGUGGAGGAAAAUAUAUGUGGAGAAAGCAGAAGCCUUUAAAACAGUUUUUUUAAUUAACUUGUUACUUAUUGUUAAUAGCUUUGGGCAGUAACUAAGGCAGAACAAUUUAAAUUACAAUGGUUGAAGUUCUGGCUCAUGGUCUUCCUCACACUCUGCUGCUUCAACUGAGAUAUUGGGUGAGAAGUGUUUUGCACAAACGGAUUGCAGUUUUUAGAGUUUAGAUUUUUAAAAAGUAACUAGUAACUGGUGGCUUUAGAGAAACAGGAGUUGUGUUUAAACAAAUCGGCUGAUAAUGUCAACUAGCUAUUUCAGAAGGGCUUAGAUUUAGAACCAUAAUUAUUAUAAUAAAUCACAAUAUAAUUAUAACUGUACGUUAUUCCCCCACUGAGACAGAGAGCCCUUGUCCCAGGAUGACAGCAAUAUAUGCGCGUAAUUACAGAGACAUCUAUAGAAUGUUCUUUUUGUGAAAAGAGAAGAACAUGACAAAGCAUUCCAAUAACAUUUCAUUUCACAUGGAGGGAAGGUACAUAUGUGAAUAUUUUUGGAGGGCAAAUUAUUAUUGCAGGUUAAAAGCUAGCAGACGAAAGGAAAAAGUCAGUAGACUGGCAUAAUUCUAUGCAUGUCUGUUCUGUUCUCGUUCCCAAAAAACGUGUGUACAAUUGCAGGCUUAAAUCUUUCUUUUUUUGUUGCAUAUUAUCAUUCUUUGCUUACUGUUUUUUAAACACAUAGCUUCUAAAGUGCUUCAGUUCUAGGAGAUUUCUAGUGCAUGCUUCUUUUGAAAGCAAUAACCAGCUAUUGUUCAUUUUUCCAAUGUACAAAAUGUUUCAUUUUACCACUAAAUCAUCUUGACUCAGGAAGCCAUCAGUUCGUAAUCCACGCAGGUGGAAAGGGUCAGUCAAUUGGAAACCAAAAUCCCAAGAUGAACACCAUAAUGCCAUGGUUGAAACGUAUGAGAUUCACCUUUUUUUCACUAUAAAUAGAGCAAGGAUAAAUCACCCAAGCUUGUAACGUGGGCCUGGGAAAAAUUAGUCACUGACCUAAAAAUGCUUCCUUCUGGAUGCCAGUGACUACAUUCAGCAGUGCAUAAAAAAUAAUCACAGAAAAUAACAAAAGUAGAUCAAGGAGCACCAUAUGAUAAAGUGAAAAAUAGACUGUGCCAGCCGAAACAGAAGUCAAAACAACAGAAAAUAUUACUUCUGCUCACUAUGUUAUUUUACAUGUGUGUUCCAGGGAAACCAUUUUGAGACAAUCUUAAGAAUCAUGAGACCUGAAAAGUAGGAUGCUUCCAACAAGCAGGUGAUCUUGUAUAGAUAGGUUUAGCUGGAUGAAAAACCUGGCAAACAUGUUUUUUUCUCAAUUUUAACUUCAUUUAGUCAAUCCUUCUUCUCCAACAUCUUCAGUCAGCAGAUGUUGAAUUACAAGUUCCAGAAUUUUUAAGCAUAGGAUUGGGCUUCCUGUGAGCUGAUGUCCAUCAUCAUCUGGGGACCCAAUCCAGAAGCCAUUGAUUCAGCCAACAUACUUUCAAUUUCCCCCAAAGUCCAGGGAUGCCCAGCACUUAGGAUUUGAUUGUUGCACAGCCUCACUUGUGAAAUAUCAUAGAGGUGGACCAAGACAUCAACCUUUUCCACUUGAAACAUUCACAUUUUCCCAUUGUUGUUGUGUGCCUUCAAGUCAAUUUUGACUUACAGAGAUCAGAAAACAAUUCUAUUAUGUGGUUUUCUAAGGUUAAGACUUCAAGUCACGUCAGGUCACCUAGUGGCUGAGUGGGCCAUCAAAUCCUGACUCCAGACUCAUAGUCCAAUGCACAAACCACUACAGGGGGAAGGGAGAUGGAUUAGUUUUUCAGUGCAUUUUAUGCAUAGUAUUAGGAGCUUUCUAUCAAUUACACCAUAAUAGUAAAAUGCAUUGACUGGCAUCCUUUUUCAAUAUUUACAAGAUUGUAAAGUGAUAGAAGCAGGAUGGUGUAGAGGUUUGAACUUUGGGUUAUGGCUCUGGAGACCAGGGCUCAAAUUCCCAUUCAGCCAUGAAUUCUCACUGGGCGACCGUGGAUAUGUCACACUCUCUCAGCCUUACAGGAAUGCAAAGGCAAAGGCAAACCCCCUCUUAACAAAUCUAGCUUUGCCUUAGGGUUGCCAUAAGUCAGAAAUGUCUUGAAGGCACAUAACAACCAGUCUAUUAGGUAAGCUACCUGUGGAGUCCCUGAAUGAGUCAUUACAUUUCUAUAUAUACUGGCUACAAUUUCUCCAAAAUCAGCUUGAUGGAAUCACCCUCAUUUUCACAUCAUAUUCAGGAAGGCUAAGGACUUGUUCUAAGCACUAAAGCCAAGAAGCCUAUCCUUUUAGGAAAGACCCACAAGCUCAAAGAGGCACAGGCAGGAGAAAAAAAUUAUUAAGGAAAGGUUUUAGUCUGCAUUGCAAAGAUCUGUGUGACUAUUAAUGACUUUUAGCAACUUCUGUGUCAGUGGGAACAACCUCUGCUGAGAUAGAAACCUCAACGAAAUUUCAUCUAUAGUAGUAUUUGUGGUGGGCUGGGGCUUUGGAGCCAAUAAUUGUAUGGUACACAGUGGCCCUCAGUUAUCAGAAGAAUAACACUUUCCACUACUUAAUUUUGAUUGUUAAAUUGCCCAAGAGUCUGUCGUUAUACUACUAAUAACAUAGCACAUCAGGUAAAACUGUUGAAUAUGAAGAAAGAACAAUGUCAAGACACAAGAUAAUGGUGCUUUGAACCAGUGUUCCAUAUUUUUGAAAGAACGCAACAAAUCCUAACAACUAUGAACAAUAAGCUAGCGUGAGAGAAAUAAUUGAAAGGUCCCCUGAUACUGUUGCUUCCAGAAGUGAAGAAGGCACACCAUUACCUUGUAUUGCAGUGGUUCUCAACCUGGGGUCCCCAGAUGUUUUUGGCCUACAACUCCCAGAAAUCCCAGCCAGUUUACCAGCUGUUAGGAUUUCUGGGAGUUAAGGCCAAAAACAUUGGGGACCCCAGGUUGAGAACCACUGUUGUAGUUGCUAGUGUGAAUGACUAAGAAAAGUAUUAACAACAGACAACACAGGUUUGGAGGACAUUUUCAGAACAACCUUGAUCAUGAACCAGCAGCUUUACUGGAGAGUUGUACAAAUCAUAUCUUCAAAAUGUGCAGAAUAUACUAAUUCUCAAUGAAUUUGGAAGAUACAUUCCCAUUACAUUUUCCAGUCAUAGAUUUAGCCCUUAACAACUUCAAAUAUUUAGUGUAUGAAAUUUAUUAUUUUUUGUUUAGUUAUUAUAUUUAUACCCCUCCUUCUUCCCCGAGGGCACUGAAGGCGGCUAACAGUUUGUAAGUAACACUUUAUAAGGUAGUACAUACUUACUUAAUCUUUCUUUUGUGUGUAUGUCUUCAAGUUGCCUGCUAAUGAUCUCCAUAUAUUCCAUAGGGUUUUCUUUAGCAAUACUCAAGAGGUGAUUUUGUCUGUUCCUUCCCCUGAAAUACAGCCUAUAGUAUCCAAUAUGUAUUGUUAGUCUCCCAAGUACUAACUAGAGCUGGUCCUGCUUAGCCUCCCAGAUCAGAUGGAAUCUAGUGCCUUUAGGGUACUUAGGCUCCUAUUUUAGUCUCCUGUUUUAAUAUUGUAUGUUUUUUGUAUGCUUUUUGCUUAUUUUAACGAUUGUUUUAUUGCUAUUGAUGUUUUACUGGUAUAAUUGUUUUAUAGUCGUGCUAUUGAUAUUGAUUGUCUUAUCGGGCUAGGCCCCAUGUGAGCCGCCCCGAGUCCCUUCGGGGAGAUGGGGUGGGGUAUAAAAAUAAAGUUGUUGUUGUUGUUGUU